UUGGUGAAUUGAUGAAAAAAGAAAGAAGUGGUGGUCGAUGGUCGUGGAGGAAGGCGAUGCUUCCAAACGAAUCUGAUCCAACAUAGCCUCCACUCCAGUCCAGUCCAGUCCAGUCCACCACAACUCUCUUCACUCCAACUCCAAUGGCUACCCCUGCAACUCUCUCACUCUCCUUCUCCUUAGAUCCCCAACACCACCUUCCCCACCAUUACUGCUGCGCAACCCAUUUCAAGCCCCAUCAAACGCUUCUCUUCAACUCCACCACUCCUCUCCCCAAAUACCCACUUCUUUUCCACCCCAAAUCCGACCGUUACAUCGUCAAAUCUUCAUCUUCAUCUUCUCCGCCUUCACCUUCUUCAACUACAGCUCCAGAACCAGACCCAGAACCAGCCUCGCCUUACUUCUUAGACACACUUGGUACAGGUCGGUUCUUGACCAAUGAAGAGCUUGAUAAGCUCAAAUUCCUUGAUGGGUUCUCGUAUUCUCAGGAAUUGGAAUCUGGGGUUUUAUGUGUUCGGGUUAUGAGAGCAGAGGAAAUGGAUAUGACCAUUUCUUUGCUCGCUGAGUCCUUUGCUGAGUCCAUGGCUAUGGCUUCGGCUUAUGAUACUCUGCUUAAGUUCUUCAUAAAGCAAUACUUGAUGGAAAGAAGGUCUCUAAUGCCUCAUGCUGUAACCCUCGUUGGAUUUUUCAGAAAGAAAAAACAGCAAGAAGAUGAUGAUGAAGAAGAAGAAGAGGAAUUGGCGGGAACAGUAGAAGUUAGUUUUGACAAGAGGGGUGCUAAUACGUCUCCUCCAACGCCUACUCCUCCCAAGAAUUCGCCUUAUAUAUGUAACAUGACUGUGAAGCAUCAGCUCCGGAGGAGAGGAAUUGGGUGGCAUCUUCUAAAGGCUUCAGAAGAACUAAUUUCUCAGAUGAGUUCGACUAGGGAUGUGUACUUACACUGCAGAAUGAUUGAUGAAGCUCCCUUUAACAUGUACAUAAAAGCAGGUUACCAUGUUGUAAAGACAGAUACCAUUUUGAUUUUAUUGAUGUUACAACGUCGCAAGCACUUGAUGUGCAAAAAGCUUCCAGUUGUAACAAUCUCCGAAGAAUCAUCCGAUGAGGAAUGUUAAUGAAUUAAGCAUGUUUGCCUGAGGUGAAGGAUGUAAUUGAAUGAGAUUUUUGACAAAUAUGGGGUUGGCUAUUCGAGUGGCAGGUCGAAUUGGCAUCCAGUAAUUGUUGCUUGUAUCUAUUAUAAAGGUGGGAACCUGCUCUGUUGCAGAUUAUCAGCUGGAGUUCUUUUACACAUUCUUCCAUGGAGGGUCUUUCACUGCUUUCAACACGAACACAUCUCGAUGCCAGAUUCGCAAACAUUGCUAUAGACUCCAUGGUAACAAGGUUUUGGUCGUUCGGUCCCAGGUUCAGAUCCACAGCCCGACGUCCAGUCAAUAACUCCAGAAGAACCACACCAAAUGCAUAAACAUCACUUUGUAAAAUUCCCAUUUUUCAUAUAUUCAUAUACAAGAAACCGGUCCUUCCCAUCUGCACAGUAGCCCACCAAAGUAACCAGAUUUGGGUGAUCAAGUCUGCUCAGUAUAUCGACUUCUACACGAAAUUCCAGUUCUCCCUCGGCUUCUUUAAAUGGUGCUAGCUCCAUUUUCUUGAUUGCUACAACCUUUUUUGUGUCCAAAACAGUAAGAAAUCAAUAUAUGUAUCACCAAAUACAAACAUUCUUAUACUUAUUUUGUUUGGUAUAUGAAAAAUUAUUAUGUA